ACACGAAAUUCGGCUUUCGCAA
rnacentral:snRNA from 1 species